rnacentral:tRNA from 1 species
UAAGUAGUAGCAUAAUGGCAGUGCAAAGAGUUUUGAUCUCUUUUAUCUGGGUUCAACUCCCAUCUAUUUAA